GUUAAAGUGGCAGAAAAGUGCAAGGAAUUUAAGCUUCCUUUAUGAAAAUUUUCCUUUAAUA
rnacentral:tRNA from 1 species